rnacentral:lncRNA from 10 species
UGUCUCCUGUGAAGAUGUCAAUGAAUGCAUCACGGGCAGCCACAGCUGCCGGCUUGGAGAAUCCUGCAUCAACACAGUGGGCUCUUUCCGCUGCCAGCGGGACAGCAGCUGCGGGACUGGCUAUGAGCUCACAGAGGACAAUAGCUGCAAAGAAUACUCUGGGAUCCUUCCGCUGCCGACCCAAGCUACAGUGCAAGAGUGGCUUUAUACAAGAUGCUCUAGGCAACUGUAUUGGUAAGAGGUGUGCCGCCAGGAUUAGCGGGUUAUUCCAGGAGGGGCCAGCGACCUAGCCUUGGGGCAGGCCUCUAGAAUCUGCGGGGCCGCAUGGUAUACAGAACAGGGGUUGGCAAACUUUUUGUGUAAAGGGCUGGACAGCAAAUAGAGCAAAUACUUUAGCCGUUGUGGGCCAUAUGGUCUCUGUCAUAAUAGUCAACUCUGCUGUUAUAGUCUAAAGCGGCCAAGGGCCAUCUGUAAACAAAUG